UACGUAGGUGACAAGCGUUGUCCGGAAUUAUUGGGCGUAAAGCGCGCGCAGGCGGUCCUUUAAGUCUGAUGUGAAAGCCCACGGCUCAACCGUGGAGGGUCAUUGGAAACUGGGGGACUUGAGUACAGAAGAGAAGAGUGGAAUUCCACGUGUAGCGGUGAAAUGCGUAGAGAUGUGGAGGAACACCACUGGCGAAGGCGACUCUUUGGUCUGUAACUGACGCUGAGGCGCGAAAGCGUGGGGAGCAAACAGG
rnacentral:rRNA from 1 species